rnacentral:tRNA from 1 species
AUUUAAAUAGCUUAAAAAAAGUUUAAUAAUGAAAAUAUUAAGAUGAUUCCAUAUCUUUAAAUA